AUUGAACGCUGGCGGCAUGCUUUACACAUGCAAGUCGAACGGCAGCGCGGGCUUCGGCCUGGCGGCGAGUGGCGAACGGGUGAGUAAUACAUCGGAACGUGCCCAGUAGUGGGGGAUAGCUCGGCGAAAGCCGGAUUAAUACCGCAUACGACCUGAGGGUGAAAGCGGGGGAUCUUCGGACCUCGCGCUAUUGGAGCGGCCGAUGGCAGAUUAGCUAGUUGGUGGGGUAAAGGCCUACCAAGGCGACGAUCUGUAGCUGGUCUGAGAGGACGACCAGCCACACUGGGACUGAGACACGGCCCAGACUCCUACGGGAGGCAGCAGUGGGGAAUUUUGGACAAUGGGCGAAAGCCUGAUCCAGCAAUGCCGCGUGUGUGAUGAAGGCCUUCGGGUUGUAAAGCACCUUUGGCGGGAACGAAAAGGACUGUGCCAAUACCACGGUUCGAUGACGGUACCCGCAGAAUAAGCACCGGCUAACUACGUG
rnacentral:rRNA from 1 species